rfam:Lingula anatina scaffold653, whole genome shotgun sequence.
AAAACGGUCCUUUUCAGGACCACCAAAUGUUCAAGAAAAGCUAUG